rnacentral:rRNA from 1 species
UACUACAGCCAUGCCACAUUGAACAGGCCCGAUCCCAUCUGAUCUCAAAAGCUAAGCAGGGUGGAGCAUGGUUAGUAUUUGGAUGGGAGACCACCUGGGAAGACCAGGUGCUGUAGGCA